GUUCCCAUUGAUUUGCUGCUCUCGCCUCCCCAGUGGCACGAGCAGUUAUACGCGUGGGAUAGAGCAACGCCGGGCCGCUGUGGACGGGGGUGGGUGGCCGUGCCACCCUUCUUCCACGUGUGUGUGGCCCGGACACGG